CCUGUAGUGUCAUGUUGGAUAAGUGCAACAGGACCUUCAAAAUCAAUCAAAUAACGACACCUUAAAUCAGCAGUUUAAUUGGGAUUGAAACACGCCAAUUCUGACAUAUUGCCUUGAAAUUCUGCCUGUUAUCGUUGUCGAUUGGGACACAGUGUGUGACUUGAUUUAGGUUUAGUUCAGCCGUCCUGUUGCACUUAUCCAACAUGACACUAUAGGGCAGCGAACAUCCACAGAAGGAAGGCCUCGUCGAUGUUUCCUUCGCCGGGGAGGGUAUCCCAUAACACCUUGCGGCAAGUAGCGGAAAUAAUUUUAAAAAAUGUCUGAAUUAAUGGCGGACAAAGUCCCCGGUUGGGAGAAAAUGUUCCAGAGGAAUAGCGAAUAACUUUGUGAAAUGUUGAAGCACAUCCCUCCCCAUCACCCAGACAGAUGUAAAGAAGUUGGGAACCUCCGGUCCAACAGGCUUGGACAGGAUGCAGUUCAUCUGUCUAAUCCCCUGCGAGGAGAAACACAAUCAUGGUGGUAUCUGGGAGGUCUACCCGGGGG